rnacentral:rRNA from 1 species
CCCUUAGAUGUUCUGGGCCGCACGCGCGCUACACUGAUGCAUUCAACGAGCCUAUCCUUGACCGACAGGUCCUGGUAAUCUUUGAAUCUGCAUCGUGACGGGGAUAGAUUAUUGCAAUUAUUAAUCUUCAACGAGGAAUGCCUAGUAGGCGCAAGUCAUCAGCUUGCGUCGAUUACGUCCCUGCCCUUUGUACACACCGCCCGUCGCUCCUACCGAUUGGGUGUGCUGGUGAAAUGUUCGGAUCGGCCGUUUGUCGCGGUUUCCGCGUCAUGUGGCUGAGAAGUUCAUUAAACCCUCCCACCUAGAGGAAGGAGAAGUCGUAACA